GGAUUCACCAAGAUGCUAUUUUUUCAACUCCCUAUCGUUCUUAGUUUGAACAGUUUAAGGCUACAAUGAAUGUGGAAGAUGGAAGCUUGAAGAGGCGUUCACGUGAUAGUUUAGUGUACCUCACGACAUGUAUGAUUGGGCAUCUCGUGGAAGCAUAUCUAAAAAAUGGAUCGGUUUAUAGUGGUAUAUUUCAUGCUGCUCAUGUGGAGAAGGAUUUUGGUGAGGCUCUGAGUCAGAAUUUAUUUAUUUUCUUAGAUAUGUGAAGCAUAGGAAAACACUACUAUUCUUUUCUAAAUUUCUUGAAACUUCCAGGAAUUGUUCUAAAGAUGGCAUCCCUGGUUAAAGACGGUACUUUACGAGGGCAUAAAUCUCGUUCCGAGUUCGUCAGAAAGCCACCUUAUAAGACAUUCAUUAUUACUGGGGAUGAGCUUGUGCAAGUUGUAGCUAAGGUGUGCUUCCUUUUAUUAAUCAUAUGCGAACUUUUUUUCUGUUUAAGUUUAUCUUAAUGCGUUAUAUGGCAGGGAAGGGACAUUACGCUGAGAUUUGAUAUUUUCAUUCCUUUUAUGAUUGAUGUUGGUGUUAGGAUCUCUCCGUAUUCAGUGACGGCAAGUUAAAAGCCGUUCAGAGUGAGAAGUCGGUGGAGCUUUUGACGGAUUCUUCUAUAUCAAAGUCCUGUCGUGUUGAUCAGGGAAGAGAGCUAAAACACUGGGUACCUGAUGGUCAAGCUCCUGAGGGUCUGGAUAAUGUGUUUGAUAAGCCUUGGAAACGGUAUAUACAUACAUAUUUUGAUUUCAUGCAAAUUUAUCUAUUGGAUGCUUCAUAUGCAAAUUUGUUAGCUAGAUUCUUAAGACCACGGUUUCUUAUCUGAACAAUUUAGACGAGAGAAUGUGGGAAUGAAACGAAUGGAUUAUUUUUGUGCUUCCACAUUAGGAUUGGAGAUCUUCCUUUUGGAAAGCUAUUAUUUUUCUAUCUCUCUGUUGAGCAAGAUUUUUUGUUUAUUGAAAGCAUAUAAUAUAUUGAGAGGAAGAGCCCUUGGUGAAUGUCCAUAAGAUUAGGAAGAUUGCAGUUUCCAUAUCUCUCACAACAUGGCUAUUUGCUGGCAGUGGGGGAUGGGAUCAGUUUAAGGUGAAUCAGGAACGGUUUGGAGUAAUGAGCACCUUCAAUGAGGAAAUGUAUACCACACCACUUGACAGAGGUCUUUGGACUAGAGAGCUGGAAGAGAAAGCCAGAGAGAUUGCGAGAGAGAUUGAGGGUGAAAAUACCGGAGAUCUUCAUGUAGCAGAGGUUAUUUUGGGGAGUUUAUUUGCACAACUUGAUCUCUACAUUUUUGUUGUUAUAUAACUCUAGAUCUCUAAUUUUCAUGCCUGCAGGAAAGAGGCCUUCAAGUUAAUGAGAAAUUUGAUACUGACGAGGAAGCUAAAUACUCAGCUGUCCGUCGAGUUGAUGGAUUUGAUGAUAGUGGGUUUGAUGAGGAAGACGACAAAUUGCUGGACACUUGCAACGAUCAGACUUUCGGUGGUUCAUCUACUUCUAUUGUCCAGAAGCCAGCUUCUUCUGGUGGCCAGAAGCCAACUUCUUCUAGUGGCAAGGGUUAUGGGGUAUGGUUGACUUCUUUUUUGAAAGUAGUGUCGAGCAGAACAGUUGUUGAUAUUUACCAUUCAUUUUCAAUCAGGGUGAGAGCUGCUCGAUAUCUGAUGAUCACGCUGGUCACCUUCCCUCUGAACAGCGAUCCAAGUAUUUUCCUGCCCGAGGCAGCAGUAUAAGGUCAUAUUUUUGCCAUUAGGCUACGGAAUUUUUAAUCAUCUAAAAGACUUCUCUUACAUUGAGAGUUUCUCUUGACAUAACAGUGAGAGCCAGUUGGGUGAGCGAAGAAACAACAAUAAUCCAGAGGUUGCCCGCAGUAACAGAGUAAAUUCAACUCCAUGUUUAUUAUGCAUGUUUGAUCAAUGAUUACGUUCGGCGUUCUUCUAUUAUUUUUUAACAUUGUUUCUUUGGCUUUGUUUUGUAUUUACAGUCACCUGAGGUAUCAGUUUCUGGUCAUGGAGGUACAUGCUACUUCUUUCUUACUCUUUGUUCCUCUUUUCAAUUUUAAAAGCAUGGCUCACAGUUUUUCUCUUGGCCUGAAACUAAUAUUUAUUUUCACGUUGAUCUCAACUGACUAUCUACUGGUGCUCUGUAAUGUUCCACUGAUCGUUACCUCUUUUAAAGUCGCCAAAUGAAAAAGUUGCUUUUGUACACAGGCAGUGGUGACCUGUUAAGAAAAUAUUGUGUGUUUGGAAUAUAGAUAUCGAAGAAGGUGCAAAUCUUGGUGGCGGUGGAACCUCCUCGGCUUCGAUGACUGUUGCUGAGAAAGAAAGGCAAGUCAAUCAAGUUUCUGGUGAAAGAAAAUCUGAAAGCUCUUUUGGUCAGUCGGCUUCUAGAAGAGGUUCAGAGAGCGGCCCAGCUCCGUCGGCCUCAACUCGUCCUGGACUAUCAUCACCAAGCUCGUCAAUUAGUUCGUUGCCCUCAUCCGAAAAGUCCAUUCUUAACCCGAAUGCAAAGGUUUACUUUUUCUACUUGAUUUGUUUCAAACUCUUUGUUGUGUUUACUAAUCAAAAGUCAUUGGGUCUGAUCAGGAAUUCAAACCAUCGCAAUCACCAGCUCCUGUACGGCCUCAAUCUCCAAUUGCAGGUGGCUCAUUCUACUACGCUGCUCCAACUCCACCGGUGCAGCAGAUGCCUGUAAUGCCUGCUGGUUACGGAGUAAGUUCACUUUGUUGUUUUAUAGAGCCUAACUUUUACUAAAAAGAAACGAAGCAGAAGUCUCUAAAACUCUGGCCAUGUGAAAAGCAUAUGCAGAUUCAACCGCAAUAUCCUGGACAGCAGCAGCUGCUUCGUUAUCCUGGCCACGAGUAUCCUCAAACUUAUUAUCCUCCAAAUGCACCGCCCCAGGUAUGAAGACACUAAGAUCACGAAGAACCCUACCUACACUCUUCACAAAACCAAAAUAAGGUGAUUGCGUUUGGCGUUGUUCUAUUAUUUUUAACAUUGUUUCUUUGGCUUCCUUUUGUAUUUACACAGACACCUGAGAAAUCAGUUUCUGGUUCUGGUCAUGGAGGUAUAUUCCACUUUUUUCUUACUCUUUUUCUAUAUCUGCACGCCACUAUAUUUGUUUAUCCGAUUUGAAUGCCCACAGAAGUCUGAACUUGUUUUCCUGUGCUACACGUAGAAGGCUGCUCACAUUUUUUCACUCUACCUGACACUAAUAUUUAUUGUCACGUUGAUCUCAACUGACUAUCUACUGGCCGUCAGUAAUGUUCCACUCUGAUGAUGACCUCUUUUAAAGUCGCCAAAUGGAAUCUAGAAAAGUUGCUUUUGUACACAAGCAGUGGUGAACCUGUUAAGAAAAUGUUGUGUGUUUGGAAUAUAGACAUCAAAGAAGGUGGCGGUGGAACCUCGGCGUCGAAGACUGUUGCUGAGAAUGAAAGGCAAGUCAGUCAAAUUUCUGGUGAAACAAAAUCUGAAAGCGCUUUUGGGCAGUCGGAUUCUAGAAGAAUUUCAGAGAGCGGCCCAGCUACACCGACGUCAACUCGUCCUGGACUAUCACCAAGCUCGCCAAUUAGUUCGUUGCCCUCACCAGAAAAGUCGACUCUUAACCCGAAUGCAAAGGUUUACUUUAUCUACUUAAUUUGUUCAAACUUUGAUAAAGUGUUGGUUGAAUUGAUGCUGAUGAUUGUAUCAAUGCCUUACUUUCUUUGCGUCUAAGCAUCUUGAUAGUUAUUUGGUAUCAUGUUUGUGCCGACACGCUAUGGUUUUUUGUUUCCCUUACUGCUGUUCACAUUUUCGUGCAGAAUAAUCAACACAACAUCUGUUUUUCUCAAAGGUUCCACUGUUUUCUGAUGCAGUCCGGCUCUUGUUUAUGUUUAUUUUGUUCUGUGAUGGCGAGGCUAUUCUUUUGAUUGUAUUUUCCCGUAAGAUAGUAAUCAUGGGUUUCAAUGGUAUAGAUGGAAGAGUAGCAUAAUGGUAACAAGGUUAUAUUGGGGAAGAUGCUGAACACGAUACUACUCUUCAUUCAUACCACUAUAACUUUCGCUGAGCAGUUUUGUCUGUGGAUUCACCAAGAUGCUAUUUUUUCAACUCCCUAUCGUUCUUAGUUUGAACAGUUUAAGGCUACAAUGAAUGUGGAAGAUGGAAGCUUGAAGAGGCGUUCACGUGAUAGUUUAGUGUACCUCACGACAUGUAUGAUUGGGCAUCUCGUGGAAGCAUAUCUAAAAAAUGGAUCGGUUUAUAGUGGUAUAUUUCAUGCUGCUCAUGUGGAGAAGGAUUUUG
rnacentral:lncRNA from 1 species